AUGUACCUAGCUUGUGCUACUCGUCUUGACAUCUCAGUUGCUGUGUGCAAACUGAGCCGGUUUGUUUCCAAUCCGGGAGAUGUGCAUUGGCAUGCCGUUGAACGAGUCAUGCGCUAUUUGCAAGGUACUGUGGGCUACAGAAUCCAUUAUUCUGGGUACCUGACGGUACUUGAGGGGUAUAGUGAUUCGAAUUGGAUAUCUGAUGCUGAUGAGAUGAAAGCCACAAGUGGAUAUGUCUUCACACUUGGUGGCGGUGCUAUUUCCUGGAAGUCUUGCAAGCAGACGAUCUUAACGAGAUCGACUAUGGAAGCAGAACUCACAGGAUUAGACACAUCAUGCGUCGAAGCAGAAUAG
rnacentral:rRNA from 1 species